UACGUAGGUGACAAGCGUUGUCCGGAUUUACUGGGCGUAAAGAGCGCGCAGGCGGUCGAUCAAGUCGAGUGUGAAAGCCCCCGGCUCAACUGGGGAGGGUCAUUCGAUACUGAUCGACUCGAAGGCAGGAGAGGGAUGCGGAAUUCCAGGUGUAGCGGUGAAAUGCGUAGAUAUCUGGAGGAACACCGGUGGCGAAGGCGGCAUCCUGGACCGGUAUUGACGCUGAGGCGCGAAAGCCAGGGGAGCAAACGGG
rnacentral:rRNA from 1 species